GGGGGGGGUCCAGGGGUGGGGGCCACAGAGGGGGAGCCCAGGACUGCUCGGCGAGCUAAUGCUCGCAAGUGGCCGGCGGGGAUGAAUUCCCCCAGGACAUGCGAUAACGCGACUCUGAGCGAGGCAUGGAUGCUGAACCCGGCGGAUUGAGCCCCCCCCCCACCCCCGGUCCUGGGCUGGGGGCACGGCGGUGCUCGGCCGGGAGGUGCCGAACCGGGGUGCGCAGCAGCCUCCGGGGGAGCUGGCGCCGGCAGGGCUCGUGUGCGGGCUGCCGGGGCCGGGACACGCGGUGCCCGGUGUCUCGUAGCGUGCACGUCUCCAUCAAAGGGAAAUAAAGGCGUGCACAGCCCCCAUCUCUUCCCAAAAUCUUUAUAUACAAACGUGGAUAUUUAUUUGAACUACGGAAAUAUUUGAAAUACAGGCAGCACUUUAUGGACGCCUUCCGUCCAGGGAGAGUUACAGCUAAAUCAAAUCACAUAAAGCCACGGAGCCGCUCCGGAGCUGUGCCCCGGGUUGGGAGCAGCACAACCCACCCCCAGGGGGGCUGCCCGGGUGCCCUCCGCCGGUUCCCUCCAUGUUUCGCUCCGGGGCAGCUCGUCCUGCUCACGGCGGUCCUGCUCCUGCAGUUGGGUUUCUUUAUAUUUAUUUUUCCCCUUCGUAAUUGCUAAAAAAAAAAAGGCAAAAAUCACCAGGUUCACUCAACAAAGUGUCUACUGGCCCGAGACGCAGCUUUUUCCAGGAGCAAACCCUUCGGGGUGCAAAGCAAAGCCCAUUUUAUCCAGAAAAAAAAUAAUAAUAAUAGUGAAGCGCCGCAUUUUUCUGGGGGGGGUCCUCGUCGCUGGCUGUGCUCCCACGCGUGUCCCCCGUGUUUCACCUGGAAUCCCUGCCGGGACAGCUCAAGCUUGGGAGAAAUGGAAGCCGGCUAGAGUAGGGCUCGAGAGAGCAGGCGAAUUUGAAAAAAAGCCUUUCAAAAUCCGCGGGAAAGGGCCCGAAUUGACAACGAGGAAGAGCUUAAAACUAGCAUUUUUUA
rnacentral:lncRNA from 1 species